AGAGAGGUGGCCGAGUGGUCGAAGGCGCACGACUGGAACUCGUGUAGGUGUAACAGCCUCGAGGGUUCGAAUCCCUUCCUCUCUGCCA
rnacentral:tRNA from 1 species